CUGAGUAAACUUGGAGUAACUUCUAGCACAUUCUAGAACUUUCCAGUAAUAUAAAUAGUAGUAUAAAUACGGGGGCUUUAAGCUCACCAGUUCAGUUUAGUUCCAGCUGCCGAAGUGGUUACAUAUCUGUAUUUUUCUGAGAGGGCAUCAAGAGGCUGCAAGCAUCCGGCAGACGCAUUUUGCUACGUCUGCGGCCAAUUUAUCAAGACAAGAGUGAAAAAGUACUCUGUGGAAGCAUCUGCUAAGAUGUGUGAGGCCUACAAGGCAUAUUUCGGCAUGCCUGUCGGGGAUCAAGACAAACCCUGGGCACCUCAUUUCACCUGCGAGCAAUGAAAAAAAACUCUGGAAGGAUGGUACAGAGGGGAAAAGAGAGCCAUGAAGUUCGCUGUCCCAAGAAUUUGGCGGGAACCCACUGACCACUCAAGCAACUGCUACUUCUGCAUGGUGAACCCUUCCUAACGUCGGACUGGCAAGAAUGCACCUGUUAUAACGUAUCCGGACCUUCCUUCAUCCAUCGCCCCGGUGCCACACUGCCAUGAGCUCCUCGUACCCACUCCUCCGGAGAGAGAGCAGCCAUCUUUAGAAGAAAGCAGCAAGUCAGAGAGCGAGUAAGACGUUGUAGAUCCAGAUGACAAUUUCAGAGGUGGAGCUGAGGAGAGAAACCCAUACUACCCCAACCAAAAAGACCUCAACGACUUGAUCAGAGAUCUUGGUCUCACCAAGUCCAAUGCCGAGCUUUUGACGUCUAGGCUCAAGCAGUGACGGUUGCUUGUUUUGCAAUCGAAACGUCGUAUUCUUAUUUAAUUUAUUUUAUUUCUACGUGACUUUACCGAAAGAACCAAAGAGUAAUUCCUGCAGUCACGAAAGCUCCAAAUCAAGUUUGAACCACCUCUACGGGGAGGAUGUAAGUUUGUUUUCUCUCGUUCUGUGUGUCUGAGGAUGUAAGUUUGUUUUCUCUCUCUCUCUCUGUGUGUCUCUGUCAAAUUUCACACUUAACUUCAAAUUUAGCAAUCGUUGGAAAUCGUAAUAAACCAGGCUAUGCAUUAA